rnacentral:misc_RNA from 1 species
GAAACAUCCACAUGGUUCAGUUCUGAAUGCAUUUGAGUAUCCUUAGGAAGCUCCAUCUCACGGGCGUUCUCAUCUUUGAUGACUGCAUUAUCAAAAACCUUCAGAACUCUAUUUGCCAAUGAAGAGCGGGUUUUCUUGGGAACAUGCUCAAACCUCCAGACACUAAGUAAAUUAUUACUACUCUUGGUCAUCUGUGUAUGUUCUUCAGUACUCUUGCUCGUAUGCAUAUGUUCUUCAGUACACGGUUCAACUUCUAUGUCCUCCUUGGCAGAUUUUGUCUCCAAAUCACAAUAAUCGUUGGAAACAGCAACCUGAUCAACUUCUAUUUUUGAGGUUUCCAUUUCAAUACACUUCUCAGUAUGUUGUCGUUCAUCCUCUAAUGGAAGAUUAAUUUCAAUUCUAAUAGGACUUGCCUUUUUACCUGCAUCAUCCCCUGCCUUGUUUUGGCCUGCAGAGUCUGAAUCAAUCAAUGAGUCCCCUGAACUCUCAAUCACAGGAUCUAUUUUCCUGGGAGGGGAACUUUGCAACACCGCAUCACUAUUCUUAGCUACUUUCUGUUCAGCUCUAUUCCCUGAAAAAGCAUUAUCUUGAGCAUCCACAUCAGGAGAGUUUCUGACUCUAUUCCACGACCCAACUCUUCCUAAUUCUCGAUCGAACUCAGAGCCAUAAUUUCUAGCAUUUUCAUUUCUUCUACUUUCUCUCACAAAACUUCUUGAACUCAUUGAAUUAUAUUCCUCCGGAAACCUUUUCCUACCAUGACCUACAUCAGCUGCAGCACUCCCCAAACGAGGAAUAGCUGAUAUUCGACCUUCAACAGGGACCCCCAUAAAAUCAGC